rnacentral:rRNA from 1 species
GCGGCGUGCCUAAUACAUGCAAGUCGAGCGAACGGACGAGAAGCUUGCUUCUCUGAUGUUAGCGGCGGACGGGUGAGUAACACGUGGAUAACCUACCUAUAAGACUGGGAUAACUUCGGGAAACCGGAGCUAAUACCGGAUAAUAUUUUGAACCGCAUGGUUCAAAAGUGAAAGACGGUCUUGCUGUCACUUAUAGAUGGAUCCGCGCUGCAUUAGCUAGUUGGUAAGGUAACGGCUUACCAAGGCAACGAUGCAUAGCCGACCUGAGAGGGUGAUCGGCCACACUGGAACUGAGACACGGUCCAGACUCCUACGGGAGGCAGCAGUAGGGAAUCUUCCGCAAUGGGCGAAAGCCUGACGGAGCAACGCCGCGUGAGUGAUGAAGGUCUUCGGAUCGUAAAACUCUGUUAUUAGGGAAGAACAUAUGUGUAAGUAACUGUGCACAUCUUGACGGUACCUAAUCAGAAAGCCACGGCUAACUACGUGCCAGCAGCCGCGGUAAUACGUAGGUGGCAAGCGUUAUCCGGAAUUAUUGGGCGUAAAGCGCGCGUAGGCGGUUUUUUAAGUCUGAUGUGAAAGCCCACGGCUCAACCGUGGAGGGUCAUUGGAAACUGGAAAACUUGAGUGCAGAAGAGGAAAGUGGAAUUCCAUGUGUAGCGGUGAAAUGCGCAGAGAUAUGGAGGAACACCAGUGGCGAAGGCGACUUUCUGGUCUGUAACUGACGCUGAUGCGCGAAAGCGUGGGGAUCAAACAGGAUUAGAUACCCUGGUAGUCCACGCCAUAAACGAUGAGUGCUAAGUGUUAGGGGGUUUCCGCCCCUUAGUGCUGCAGCUAACGCAUUAAGCACUCCGCCUGGGGAGUACGACCGCAAGGUUGAAACUCAAAGGAAUUGACGGGGACCCGCACAAGCGGUGGAGCAUGUGGUUUAAUUCGAAGCAACGCGAAGAACCUUACCAAAUCUUGACAUCCUUUGACAACUCUAGAGAUAGAGCCUUCCCCUUCGGGGGACAAAGUGACAGGUGGUGCAUGGUUGUCGUCAGCUCGUGUCGUGAGAUGUUGGGUUAAGUCCCGCAACGAGCGCAACCCUUAAGCUUAGUUGCCAUCAUUAAGUUGGGCACUCUAAGUUGACUGCCGGUGACAAACCGGAGGAAGGUGGGGAUGACGUCAAAUCAUCAUGCCCCUUAUGAUUUGGGCUACACACGUGCUACAAUGGACAAUACAAAGGGCAGCGAAACCGCGAGGUCAAGCAAAUCCCAUAAAGUUGUUCUCAGUUCGGAUUGUAGUCUGCAACUCGACUACAUGAAGCUGGAAUCGCUAGUAAUCGUAGAUCAGCACGCUACGGUGAAUACGUUCCCGGGUCUUGUACACACCGCCCGUCACACCACGAGAGUUUGUAACACCCGAAGCCGGUGGAGUAACCUUUUAGGAGCUAGCCGUCGAAGGGGGGACAAAUGAUUGGGGUGAAGUCAUAA